rnacentral:rRNA from 1 species
CCUACGGGGGCUGCAGUGGGGAAUAUUGGACAAUGGGCGAAAGCCUGAUCCAGCCAUGCCGCGUGUGUGAAGAAGGCCUUCGGGUUGUAAAGCACUUUCAGUGGGGAAGAAAGCCUUGGGGCUAAUACCCUCGAGGAAGGACAUCACCACAGAAGAAGCACCGGCUAACUCCGUGCCAGCAGCCGCGGUAAUACGGAGGGUGCGAGCGUUAAUCGGAAUUACUGGGCGUAAAGCGCGCGUAGGCGGUCUGAUAAGCCGGUUGUGAAAGCCCCGGGCUCAACCUGGGAACGGCAUCCGGAACUGUCAGGCUAGAGUGCAGGAGAGGAAGGUAGAAUUCCCGGUGUAGCGGUGAAAUGCGUAGAGAUCGGGAGGAAUACCAGUGGCGAAGGCGGCCUUCUGGACUGACACUGACGCUGAGGUGCGAAAGCGUGGGUAGCAAACAGGAUUAGAUACCCUUGUAGUC